CGAGUGUUCACCUCAUUUAUAAAUAAUGAUCUGGAACAUCACCUAGUGGGAGCGUAAAGUCUGUGGAAUCAGAGGUGGUAGAAAGACAUUGGAUAAAACACAAAGCCAUAUGAUACACUGAACAAGAUCACACAUCAUAAUGCUCUGAAACAUACCUUCCCGUACGUUUCAUUUAUGACCAAGAAAGGAUUGCUGGGUUGUAUGUACUGCUGGGACAGCCCUCCCCACACCCAGCCAAUGGAAUAAGUGAUCAGAAGUAUUGUGUCUUUUCAAGUAUCAGUGGUGGCACACAAUGCAUGGAGUCAGAGAGUCUUUCCUGGGUACAGGCAGUAAGAAGUCAGCUCUCUGAUCUUUUUGGAAUUUCUCCUGAUGUAUGAUGUGAAAAGUCGAUCCACUUUUAUUGUUUUCCAUGGCUAUCCUUGUUUAGCCACUCUAUUAAUUAAGGUGUCCACCUUAAUUGGACCAGUCCCUCACUGUAAGGAUGAAGGUUAUUGCUGUGUUCUUCUACUUCCCUAUGAAUUACUGGAAAGCAACUGUUUUAAACAAUGGCAGAAGGAAAGAAAGAAGAGGGGGAAAAAAUCUCUUGCAAUUUUUAGGGGGAAGAGUGGCGCACCGAGGAAAAGCUGUGACAAACUUUUCAUGUGUGCAGUCAUAGCCGGAUAUUGUGACAAAGAACGACGAAGAAAAUCAAGGCAGUGCAAUAGCAUAUUUAGACAUAACACAAAAUAAAAACCCU
rnacentral:lncRNA from 1 species